GUCCGCUUGUAUGCAGUCACUGACACCACUGACAUUGCCCCAAAUCAGAGGGUGGGAACCAAACAGUAGGAAGGCCCUGGGCCUCUCUGCCUUUGCCCUCUACCUGUACUGAGUGGUCCAUGUGUGUCCUUCCUUGUUGUGCGGAAGGAAGGAAGAGAAGAUCUUUGGAAUCUGCAACUGCUCACUCAUGUCAGAAUCCAGUACAAGGUAGUAUCAGAUUUAGCGGAGAACAUUUCUAUCCUCAGCUUAGUACAUCAGUAUUUUACAGUGACUUUUAAGUAUGCUGCCCUCAAGCUCAAGAACUACUGGAGCCCUGUCCUCAGCCAUUUAUCUUAAAUGUAAGAAAUUCCAGGUCAGGGGGAAUGAAUUAAGUGAAAUGAAAUGAAUUAAAAAGAAUUGGUGAGUCUUCC